CCACGUGGAAGCACGCGCAGAGAAAACGGCGAAGAUUUCAAAAAAUUUUGGAAAAGAUUUGAAAAUUUGAAAUAGAUUUUAUAAUAAUUUCUUAACUAUUUUUAUUCCAAUGUAUGAUUUAAGAAGAUAAAUUUGUUGAGAUUACCCAUGGUUCGACCUUCAGAGACGACUCGAGAGCAAAGCGGCGGAUCAAGACGUAGAAAAGCGUACACGCCAAGGCGAGAAGAACGUCGCGAUGAGGCCACAGGU
rnacentral:lncRNA from 1 species